rnacentral:rRNA from 1 species
AUUCCAGCUCCAAUAGCGUAUACUAAAGUUGUUGCAGUUAAAAAGCUCGUAGUUGAAUUUCUGGUCUUGGACGGCGGUCUACCACAAUUGUGGUACGUACUAACUGUCCGAGUCCAUCCUCGGGGAAAACAUGCCUGUGAUUCAGUUCAUGGGUAUGGGAUCCUCGUCAUUUACUGUGAGCAAAAUAGAGUGUUCAAAGCAGGCUUAUGCCGUUGAAUACAUUAGCAUGGAAUAAUAAGAUAGGACCUUGGUCUAUUUUGUUGGUUUGUACUCCAAGGUAAUGAUUAAUAGGGAUAGUUGGGGGUAUUCGUAUUCAAUUGUCAGAGGUGAAAUUCUUGGAUUUAUGGAAGACGAACUACUGCGAAAGCAUUUACCAAGGAUGUUUUCAUUA